GUGCCCUGCCUCUGAUGAAACCAAUGUUGGUAGGGACAUCUGACGAUGUUGAUGAAUGCCAACAGCUCUGAUGGUGGCGC
rnacentral:snoRNA from 15 species